rnacentral:snoRNA from 1 species
CCUGCCUCUAGAAGGGUUGCAGGUGGCUGCUGUGCCACAUGCGCCGGAGUAUGUGGCCGAAAGAGGCUCUGCCUACACUCAGUGUUCUGAUCUAUGGACAUCUGAACAAUUAAUAGCCUAACAUU